rnacentral:rRNA from 1 species
UUUAUGGAGAGUUUGAUCCUGGCUCAGGAUGAACGCUGGCGGCGUGCCUAAUACAUGCAAGUCGAGCGAACGGACGAGAAGCUUGCUUCUCUGAUGUUAGCGGCGGACGGGUGAGUAACACGUGGAUAACCUACCUAUAAGACUGGGAUAACUUCGGGAAACCGGAGCUAAUACCGGAUAAUAUUUUGAACCGCAUGGUUCAAAAGUGAAAGACGGUCUUGCUGUCACUUAUAGAUGGAUCCGCGCUGCAUUAGCUAGUUGGUAAGGUAACGGCUUACCAAGGCAACGAUGCAUAGCCGACCUGAGAGGGUGAUCGGCCACACUGGAACUGAGACACGGUCCAGACUCCUACGGGAGGCAGCAGUAGGGAAUCUUCCGCAAUGGGCGAAAGCCUGACGGAGCAACGCCGCGUGAGUGAUGAAGGUCUUCGGAUCGUAAAACUCUGUUAUUAGGGAAGAACAUAUGUGUAAGUAACUGUGCACAUCUUGACGGUACCUAAUCAGAAAGCCACGGCUAACUACGUGCCAGCAGCCGCGGUAAUACGUAGGUGGCAAGCGUUAUCCGGAAUUAUUGGGCGUAAAGCGCGCGUAGGCGGUUUUUUAAGUCUGAUGUGAA